rnacentral:rRNA from 1 species
AUUGAACGCUGGCGGCAGGCUUAACACAUGCAAGUCGAGCGGGGUGAUGGUGCUUGCACUAUCACUUAGCGGCGGACGGGUGAGUAAUGCUUAGGAAUCUGCCUAUUAGUGGGGGACAACAUCUCGAAAGGGAUGCUAAUACCGCAUACGUCCUACGGGAGAAAGCAGGGGAUCACUUGUGACCUUGCGCUAAUAGAUGAGCCUAAGUCGGAUUAGCUAGUUGGUGGGGUAAAGGCCUACCAAGGCGACGAUCUGUAGCGGGUCUGAGAGGAUGAUCCGCCACGCUGGGACUGAGACACGGCCCAGACUCCUACGUGAGGCAGCAGUGGGGAAUAUUGGACAAUGCGGGGAUCCCUGAUCCAGCCAUGCCGCGUGUGUGAAGAAGGCCUUAUGGUUGUACAGCACUUUAAGCGAGGAGGAGGCUCUUUUGGUUAAUACCCAAGAUGAGUGGACGUUACUCGCAGAAUAAGCACCGGCUAACUCUGUGCCAGCCGCCGCAGUAA